UACGGAGGGGGCUAGCGUUGUUCGGAAUUACUGGGCGUAAAGCGCACGUAGGCGGCUUUUCAAGUCAGAGGUGAAAGCCCGGGGCUCAACUCCGGAAUUGCCUUUGAAACUGGAUGGCUAGAACGCGGGAGAGGUGGGUGGAAUUCCGAGUGUAGAGGUGAAAUUCGUAGAUAUUCGGAGGAACACCAGUGGCGAAGGCGACUCACUGGACCGUUGUUGACGCUGAGGUGCGAAAGCGUGGGGAGCAAACGGG
rnacentral:rRNA from 1 species